rnacentral:rRNA from 1 species
UACGUAGGGGGCAAGCGUUGUCCGGAUUUAUUGGGCGUAAAGAGCGUGUAGGCGGCCAGACAGGUCAGCUGUGAAAACUCGUGGCUCAACCUCGAGACGUCGGUUGAAACCGUCUGGCUAGAGUCCGGAAGAGGAGAGUGGAAAUUCCCGGUGUAGCGGUGAAAUGCGCAGAUAUCGGGAAGAACACCCCGUGGCGAAGGCGGCUCUCUGGGACGGUACUGACGCUGAGACGCGAAAAGCGUGGGGAGCGAACAGG